UACGGAGGGUGCGAGCGUUAUCCGGAAUUACUGGGUUUAAAGGGUGCGUAGGCGGUCUUAUAAGUCAGUGCUGAAAUAUCCCGGCUUAACCGGGAGGGUGGCAUUGAUACUGUAGGACUUGAGUAAAGUUGAGGUUGGCGGAAUUGACGGUGUAGCGGUGAAAUGCUUAGAUAUCGUCAAGAACACCUAUUGCGAAGGCAGCUAACUAAGCUUUAACUGACGCUGAGGCACGAAAGUGUGGGGAUCAAACAGG
rnacentral:rRNA from 1 species